UCCUACGGGAGGCAGCAGUAGGGAAUAUUGCUUAAUGGGCGCAAGCCUGAAGCAGCAACGCCGCGUGUGCGAUGAAGGCCUUCGGGUCGUAAAGCACUUUUUGGAGGGAUGAGGAAGGACAGUACCUCCAGAAUAAGCCUCGGCUAACUACGUGCCAGCAGCCGCGGUAACACGUAGGAGGCAAGCGUUAUUCGGAUUUACUGGGCGUAAAGCGCAUGUAGGCGGUCUGGAAAGUUGGAUGUGAAAGCUCCUGGCUUAACUGGGAGAGGUCGUUCAAAACUACCAGACUAGAGGAUGGGAGAGGGAGGUGGAAUUCCGGGUGUAGUGGUGAAAUGCGUAGAUAUCCGGAGGAACACCAGUGGCGAAAGCGGCCUCCUGGCCCAAACCUGACGCUCAGAUGCGAAAGCUAGGGUAGCAAACGGGAUUAGAUACCCCGGUAGC
rnacentral:rRNA from 1 species